CAGUUGAUGAGAAGCAGUCAGGAAGUCUAGCAGAUAUGAAUAGGAAACCACUGGAAUAUAAGGUGCUGGUAGGACCAAAACCUGUAGAAUGGGCCCAAUGCCUACCACAGCAUACUUGCUACUCAUGAAGAGCGCAAACUGUGCACACAUGCCAAGGACACAAGCUGUAAAUAUCCAUCAUCUGCCACUGAAAAUGAGCAUGUCAGCAGGUCCUUCCACAUCAGGUCCUGUAUAAAAGUAGACCAGGAUCUAGACGUGCAUUUAUGUUCUUUAGCACAGACUUGUAAAUUAAUACAGUAUGCAUUUUAGGACAUUUGUAAAUAACUAUUUGAUGUACAUUAUAGUAUUAUUUCAACUAGCAGAUAUAGAUUAAGAAACACAGUAUAUAAACUUUUACUUCAUUCUGUGUAGAACUCUCCAGCCUUUUUGGAGAUUGGAGUAUAAUGUUUUGGCAAAGUAUCCCCCUAACUGAUAUUUUCUACUAUUUACAUCAUGCUUUUCUACUGAAUAGUAUGUUAUUUUACAUCCAUAGUACUCAGACUAUGCUAAAAAAUAAGCAUAUAAAAUUAAGCUUCUGUAAGUCUCUAGCUGACCGUAACUGUUCUAUCUGCUUUCCUUCUGAGUAUCCUUGGCAUAAUGUGUCCUGAAGAACAUAUUCUGUCCUGAAGGGUGAAGCAAACAAUGGAAGCCAUAAUGCUACCAUAUUUGCUUACAGAACUCCCAAAGAAUGUUUUCAGGUUUUGUGGCACAAGGUUUGCGUUUUGUUGACCAGAAAAAAUAAAUGCCUUCAAGCACUGAUGAGCAGUCAUGUUCAUGAACAG
rnacentral:lncRNA from 7 species